UACAGAGGGUGCGAGCGUUUGUCCGGAAUCACUGGGCGUAAAGGGCGCGUAGGUGGUGGCUUAAGCGUGCGGUGAAAGCUCGGGGCUCAACCCCGAGUCGGCCGUGCGAACUGGGCUCACUGGAGCAUAGUAGAGGCAGGUGGAAUUCCGGGUGUAGCGGUGGAAUGCGUAGAGAUCCGGAAGAACACCGGUGGCGAAGGCGGCCUGCUGGGCUAUGGCUGACACUGAGGCGCGACAGCGUGGGGAGCAAACAGGAUUGAGAAACCC
rnacentral:rRNA from 1 species